rnacentral:rRNA from 1 species
CCGGGGGKGAAWRGCGGCCCCCCUGGACAGAUAYUGACAYUCWGAUKYGAAAGCGUKGGGRAGCAAACAGGAUUAGAUACCCUGGUAGUYCACGCCGUAAACGAUGUCUACUUGGAGGUUGUGGCCUUGAGCCGUGGCUUUCGGAGCUAACGCGUUAAGUAGACCGCCUGGGGAGUACGGUCGCAAGAUUAAAACUCAAAUGAAUUGACGGGGGCCCGCACAAGCGGUGGAGCAUGUGGUUUAAUUYGAUGCAACGCGAAGAACCUUACCUACUCUUGACAUCCAGAGAACUUUCCAGAGAUGGAUUGGUGCCUUCGGGAACUYUGAGACAGGUGCUGCAUGGCUGUCGUCAGCUCGUGUUGUGAAAUGUUGGGUUAAGUCCCGCAACGAGCGCAACCCUUAUCCUUGUUUGCCAGCGAGUAAUGUCGGGAACUCCAGGGAGACUGCCGGUGAUAAACCGGAGGAAGGUGGGGACGACGUCAAGUCAUCAUGGCCCUUACGAGUAGGGCUACACACGUGCUACAAUGGCGCAUACAGAGGGCGGCCAACUUGCGAAAGUGAGCGAAUCCCAAAAAGUGCGUCGUAGUCCGGAUUGGAGUCUGCAACUCGACUCCAUGAAGUCGGAAUCGCUAGUAAUCGUGGAUCAGAAUGCCACGGUGAAUACGUUCCCGGGCCUUGUACACACCGCCCGUCACACCAUGGGAGUGGGCUGCAAAAGAAGUAGGUAGUUUAACCUUCGGGGGGACGCUUWUCUYARCKAUKKKKUCC